UACGUAGGGUGCAAGCGUUGUCCGGACUUAUUGGGCGUAAAGAGCGUGUAGGCGGCCCGAUUAGUCCGCUGUGAAAGUCCAGGGCUCAACCCUGGAAUGCCGGUGGAUACUGUCGGGCUAGAGUCCGGAAGGGGCGAGUGGAAUUCCUGGUGUAGCGGUGGAAUGCGCAGAUAUCAGGAGGAACACCAAUAGCGAAGGCAGCUCGCUGGGACGGUACUGACGCUAAGGCGCGAAAGCGUGGGGAGCGAACAGG
rnacentral:rRNA from 1 species